UACGUAGGUGGCGAGCGUUAUCCGGAAUUAUUGGGCGUAAAGCGCACGCAGGCGGCUCCACAAGUUCGACGUGAAAUUUCCUGGCUUAACUGGGAAGGGUCGUUGGAAACUGUGGGGAUUGAGGCGAUGAGAGGGGCGUGGAAUUCCCGGUGUAGUGGUGGAAUGCGUAGAUAUCGGGGGGAACACCAGUGGCGAAAGCGGCGCCCUGGCAUCGGCCUGACGCUCAUGUGCGAAGGCGUGGGGAGCGAACGGG
rnacentral:rRNA from 1 species